CCACUUGAAACAGGAGGGGAAAGGAAAGGACUGGCACUUGCUAGGAAGGGAGAGUGCCCUUACUCAACUAUAAUAGAUGGAAAGGCAGUCUGGAUUCUUGGGGUGAAGAAACGGGCUGCAAGAAUCAUACAGAUUCAGAAUCAUACAGCUAGGAAGCAUCCAAGGUAGGAUUCAAACUCAGCUCUUUCUGACUGCAAGUCCAAUACACUCCACUAGUCUAAGUUGCUGGAGAUAGAGCCUGAGAGGACCUCAGGAGCCCUCAAGAAUUUUCUCC
rnacentral:lncRNA from 1 species